rnacentral:rRNA from 1 species
UGCCAGACUCCUACGGGAGGCAGCAGUGGGGAAUAUUGCACAAUGGGGGGAACCCUGAUGCAGCGACGCCGCGUGAGUGAAGAAGUAUUUCGGUAUGUAAAGCUCUAUCAGCAGGGAAGAAAAUGACGGUACCUGACUAAGAAGCCCCGGCUAACUACGUGCCAGCAGCCGCGGUAAUACGUAGGGGGCAAGCGUUAUCCGGAUUUACUGGGUGUAAAGGGAGCGUAGACGGCGAUGCAAGUCAGAAGUGAAAGCCCGGGGCUCAACUCCGGGACUGCUUUUGAAACUGUGUUACUAGAUUGCAGGAGAGGUAAGUGGAAUUCCUAGUGUAGCGGUGAAAUGCGUAGAUAUUAGGAGGAACACCAGUGGCGAAGGCGGCUUACUGGACUGUAAAUGACGCUGAGGCUCGAAAGCGUGGGGAGCAAACAGGAUUAGAUACCCUCGUA